rnacentral:SRP_RNA from 1 species
UGCCGGUCCCCUCGCAACGAACGGUCGUAAACCCCGCCAGGCCCGGAAGGGAGCAACGGUAGCGGCUAUCUCGUGUGCCGGGGUGUGGCUGGUGGGU